GAGAGUUUGAUCCUGGCUCAGGAUGAACGCUGGCGGCGUGCCUAAUACAUGCAAGUCGAGCGAACGGACGAGAAGCUUGCUUCUCUGAUGUUAGCGGCGGACGGGUGAGUAACACGUGGAUAACCUACCUAUAAGACUGGGAUAACUUCGGGAAACCGGAGCUAAUACCGGAUAAUAUUUUGAACCGCAUGGUUCAAAAGUGAAAGACGGUCUUGCUGUCACUUAUAGAUGGAUCCGCGCUGCAUUAGCUAGUUGGUAAGGUAACGGCUUACCAAGGCAACGAUGCAUAGCCGACCUGAGAGGGUGAUCGGCCACACUGGAACUGAGACACGGUCCAGACUCCUACGGGAGGCAGCAGUAGGGAAUCUUCCGCAAUGGGCGAAAGCCUGACGGAGCAACGCCGCGUGAGUGAUGAAGGUCUUCGGAUCGUAAAACUCUGUUAUUAGGGAAGAACAUAUGUGUAAGUAACUGUGCACAUCUUGACGGUACCUAAUCAGAAAGCCACGGCUAACUACGUGCCAGCAGCCGCGGUAAUACGUAGGUGGCAAGCGUUAUCCGGAAUUAUUGGGCGUAAAGCGCGCGUAGGCGGUUUUUUAAGUCUGAUGUGAAAGCCCACGGCUCAACCGUGGAGGGUCAUUGGAAACUGGAAAACUUGAGUGCAGAAGAGGAAAGUGGAAUUCCAUGUGUAGCGGUGAAAUGCGCAGAGAUAUGGAGGAACACCAGUGGCGAAGGCGACUUUCUGGUCUGUAACUGACGCUGAUGUGCGAAAGCGUGGGGAUCAAACAGGAUUAGAUACC
rnacentral:rRNA from 1 species